UACGGGGGGGGCAAGCGGUUGUUCGGAAUUACUGGGCGUAAAGGGCGCGUAGGCGGCCUGCUAAGUCACACGUGAAAUCCCUCGGCUCAACCGGGGAACUGCGUGUGAUACUGGCGGGCUUGAAUUCGGGAGAGGAAUGCGGAAUUCCAGGUGUAGCGGUGAAAUGCGUAGAUAUCUGGAGGAACACCGGUGGCGAAGGCGGCAUUCUGGACCGAUAUUGACGCUGAGGAGCG
rnacentral:rRNA from 1 species